rnacentral:rRNA from 1 species
UACGUAGGGUGCAAGCGUUGUCCGGAAUUAUUGGGCGUAAAGAGCUCGUAGGCGGUCUGUUGCGUCCGCUGUGAAAACUCGGGGCUUAACCCCGAGCCUGCAGUGAUACGGGCAGACUAGAGGUAGGUAGGGGAGAAUGGAAUUCCCGGUGUAGCGGUGAAUGCGCAGAUAUCGGGAGGAACACCGGUGGCGAAGGCGGUUCUCUGGGCCUUACCUGACGCUGAGGAGCGAAGCGUGGGGAGCGAACAGG